CUGGCUCCUGAGGCUCAGAGACCUUGGCCACCGACCCACCUGCCCAGGUCCUGCAGCGUUUCCACUGCUCAGCCAUGCCCCUGCUGCUCCUCUUGGUGCUUGAGGGGAUUUUUGCCCUUGGAGGAACGGGGGCCCAGACAGUGACCCAGCCUGACCUUCACGUCACUGUCACUGAAGGAGCCUCUCUGGAGCUGAGGUGCAACUAUUCAGUUUCUUUUACACCAUCCCUCUGGUGGUACGUGCAGUAUCCCAACCAAGGACUCCAGCUUCUCCUGAAGUAUGUAUCAGGAAGCACCCUGGUUAAAGGCAUCCAAGGUUUCGAGGCUGAAUUUAGGAAGAAUGAAUCCUCCUUCCACCUUCGAAAAACCUUCGCCCAUUUGAGCGACUCUGCCCAGUACUUCUGUGCUGUGAGUGACACAGUGUCUGGGGCUGCAGGGGGAGCUGAACACAAACCUCCUGAAACACUGGGACUUCCUGCGACUCAAGAACUUAACCUGGGGAAUUUUCAAGAUCUCUUUUUCCUGUGCCUCCUAUGA